rnacentral:lncRNA from 1 species
AUUGGGAUAUUUUUAAAGUCCCCCAGCUGAUUCUAAUUUACAGCCAAGAUUGCUAACCACAGUGCUAGGAAAUGGCCUCAGGCAGAUCUUUCGCGUAAGUGUAGAAAAAGUUCUCCGGGUUCCUCUUAGGGGAGAGACCAUUUUUAUCUGCUGCUCACUGAGAAGCAGAGAGAAAGGAGGCUGCCUAGUUGCCAGGAGGAACAUUGACCUGCCACAGCCUCCUACAUCUGUCCUAGAAGUGAAGUCCAUUUUCUGCUAAAGACAAAAAGAGAAGUGAAUUCCGUAAUCUACAAACCAGUCCUCUCACUCUAUCCUUCCUAACAACUUCAUAAUGAAGAUUAAUGGGACGUGGCUGGAUAUUCCAUGUCUUGCUGCAAGGGUGUUUACUGAAUUCUAUACUGGAUACUGACUCUGGGAAGCUCUCAAAGAAGCAAUGAAUUACAGAUAGAUUCUGGUUCUGCUGCUUCCUUCUGCCAAGUCCUAGGAAAUAGACAUUAUUCCCUCGUUAUUCAAAUGAGGUAAUUGGAGCACAGAGGUUUGUGAAUCACCCAAGUCACAUAGGAUUCUAUCCAGGGCUCUACAUUACACGUCGUUAUGUUUUUUUAGGCUCCUCUUGGAGAUGGCAGUUUCUCAGACAUUGUUGUUUUUGAUAAGCUUGAUAGUUUUGAAGAGUCUCGGUCAGUUGGUUCCAGAUCUCGCCAUUGGAGCUCUUUCCAUUGGCUCCUGUGUCCUUCAGCAUAUCUCCAUCUGUUUUCCUGGCUGAAUUCAAGCUUCCUUGGUGAGGUGGAGAAUAAGAACAGACACCUUCUAAGGACUGAGUAUCUGUGCCCCUCCCAAAUUCAUGUGUUGAAGCCUCAAUACCAAUGUGAUGGAUUUCAGAGAUGGGGACUUUCGGAAGCAAUUAGGUCGUGAGGGUGGAGCCUUCAUAAUGGCAUUACAGCCCUUUUAUAAGAGACACAAAAGAGCUUGCUGGCUCGCUCUCUCUCUCUCUCUCUGCCGUGUGAGGAUCCAAGGAGAUGGCCAUCUGCAAACCAGGAAGAGGGCUCUCUCGGGAACCUGACCAUGCCGCACCAUCAGCUUGGACUUCCAGCCUCCAGAAUUGUGAGAGAGAAAUUUCUGUGGUUUAAGCCACCCUAUCUAUGGUAUUUGUUAUGGCAGCCUGAGCAGACUAAGGCAAGCCGUAAAGAGGAAAAUAUAAUAAAUUCUCCUGAAUUCUGUAUAACAUUAGCCAUUAAUCUACAUCAAUAUAUGGUGACGAUAUAUAAGUGGAAUGUACAAUGCAUAAAAUAUGCAUAUAUUAAGGUAAAGUAGGUAAUAAUGUUUAUCUUAAAUUACACAGACCCAUUUAGACUCUUUUGGUUUUAUAAUUUGGCUUGUUUUGUUACUAUCUCGAUGAAUUGCUUAUUCAUUUCAAAUUUUAUAACAUGUAUUUCUCCUUUGAGGAAAUGUAGACGAUUGAUAUUGGGAUAGAGCUUAAAUUGUGAGAAAUUACUCAACUGUGGUAAAGGGAAUACAUCAGAAGUAACACUUGGCUCACUAAAUUUUAUUUGAAUUAGGUGUCAAGUAAGCUAAGACGUGCAGGAGACAGCUGAUGGGGUAUGAAUUAAAUUUUAGGUUCUGCUCAUCAUUUGUUAGAAAUGGAAAUCAGUUUUCAAUAGUAUUCUCAUGUAUAAUUAAAACACAGAGCUAUGUAAUGUUUGGUA